CUGGGUCAUGUUACUGCUAGAUGUCCUCAAGCUAUCUGCGGUAGAUGUAAGAAGAAAGGGCAUCUUGUCGUAGUUUGUUUUGAAUUUCUCCCUUGGGAAUAUGUGCCUGCGAUGUGUGCUUUUCAAGCCAAGGGGCAAGGAUUUCAUUACAUUCCUAAUUUUAGCAUAGAUAGACAGGCCAGAGAGAACAUUUUCAACAUUGUCGUUACCAUUGUAGAGGGCUCUGCUCCUACAAAGGAUAUUGAACAUGAGCUUAGUGUUUAUGUGGGGCAAGGGUGGCAUUGUUCUGCUAGGUUUUUUGCACCUCAGAUGUUCGUGAUGAGGAUGCCUAACCCUAGGGAGGUGGAUUGGGCUCUGUUUGUGGAGAAUGUGAGGCUCAAGCUAUGCAAAGUGAGUGUUAGGUUUUCUCCCUGGUCUGAGGACAUUGACUCUGAUGGAUUACUGGAGGUCGCCUGGGUGAGAAUUGGGAGAAUUCCUAUUAACAAAAGAUGUGAUAAGAUUGUUGCUUAUGUUGGG
rnacentral:rRNA from 1 species